UACGUAGGGUGCAAGCGUUGCCCGGAUUUAUUGGGCGUAAAGGGCGCGUAGGCGGCUCGGCACGUCCGUUGUGAAAUCGCCCGGCUCAACUGGGCGGGGUCAGCGGAUACGGCCGAGCUUGAGCAAGCUAGGGGGCAAUGGAAUUCCCGGUGUAGUGGUGGAAUGCGUAGAUAUCAGGAGGAACACCGGCGGUGUAGACGGCUUGCUAGACCACCCCUGACGCUGAGGCACGAAAGCGUGGGUAGCAAACAGG
rnacentral:rRNA from 1 species